CAGUCGCCGCGGUAAUACGUAGGUGGCAAGCGUUGUCCGGAUUUAUUGGGCGUAAAGGGCUCGCAGGCGGUUUCUUGAGUCUGAUGUGAAAGCCCCCGGCUCAACCGGGGAGGGUCAUUGGAAACUGGGAAACUUGAGUGCAGAAGAGGAGAGUGGAAUUCCACGUGUAGCGGUGAAAUGCGUAGAGAUGUGGAGGAACACCAGUGGCGAAGGCGACUCUCUGGUCUGUAACUGACGCUGAGGAGCGAAAGCGUGGGGAGCGAACAGGAUUAGAUACCCCCGUAGUCCCUGUCUUUAUACC
rnacentral:rRNA from 1 species